AUGGCGGACUACAGGAGCCACCUGAGAUUCAGCCUCAGAUGCCGACAAAACAGGAUUACUCCUAAAAGUCUGCAAAUGAGCUCUUCAGUUAAAGGCUUCCGGGCAACAAAAAUCCUCCAGAAGGCAAAGCAUCAGUUGCUUAAUGAACGGGUGAGGCAGACAAAUUUUACCAUCGACAUGCUAAAAUCUCAAGAGGAGCAGAUCCGACGGAGACUGACUAUUUUUUUAUCUGAGAAUACUCUUAAAAAGGUGUUUGACUUCACUGAGAAGGCUCGUCUAGCACAGCACAAGAAGUCUAAGACCAGGCAACAAAGGAAGUUUGACUUACUUUUUGUACGUCCGAAACCACCGCAAAAUACGGAGAGUGUCCUCAGUGGCCAGAAGAGACAAGGAUGCGACAUGGAGGAUGUGGACAAGUGGUUGAAGAAUUUGUCUGACAGACAGCUCACCCAAACAGAGAAAAACAUCCUUGCUAAAGGGUUGAAUUUUGCCGUCACACCGAGACAAAUCCCUCUAGUGGAGCUGAUCACAGCCACAGAAACAGCAAUUCGUAACAACAAUAUUGCAGAAGUGGAAGCAGAGCAACUACGGACGAAAGUUUCGGCCUGUCUCAGCAACGCAAAGCCCCCAGCAUCCAACAUCACCAUGGAGGAGAGGAAGGCACUCACAUCACUUAGUGAUGACAACAACAUUAUCAUCCUUCCGGCAGACAAAGGUAGGUGCACAGUAUUGCUUAACCAGAAAGACUAUCAUGAGAAGAUUUUGUCACUACUCAGUGAUGAAAAUACUUAUGAGCCCCUGAAACGAGACCCAGGAAGUGGCUACAGGAAGAGGGUCAUAGACUGUCUGAAGCAGUUAGAACAAGACAAGGCUAUCAACCGGACCUCAUACCACAGGCUGUACCCAGGGGAGUCUACACCAAGUCUGUAUGGUUUACCGAAAAUACAUAAGCAGGGUGCACCUUUAAGACCUAUUGUCUGCAUGAUCAACUCGGUCACCUAUAACAUCUCCAAGUUUCUGGCUUCGAUCCUCAACCCGCUGGUGGGCAGCUCUGAACACCACAUCCAGAACACCCUGGAUUUUGUUGAGAAGGUGAGAGAUGUCAUUAUGGAGGCAGAUGAAACCAUGGUCUCGUACGACGUUACAUCUCUCUUCACUUGCAUCCCAGUCAUGGAAGCGUUGGAGGUAGUCCGUAAGAGAUUACAGGAUGACACCAACCUCAGCAACAGGACCACUCUCAGCAUCGACCAAGUGUGUUUGCUUUAG
rnacentral:lncRNA from 1 species